rnacentral:rRNA from 1 species
UAAUCACUUGUCUUUUAAUUGAAGACCUGUAUNNUUGGCAUAACGAAGGCUUAACUGUCUCCUCUUUAAAGUCAAUNAAAUUGAUCUCCCCGUGCAGAAGCGGGGAUUACACCAUAAGACGAGAAGACCCUGUGGAGCUUUAGACGCUAAAGCAGCCCACGAACUAACCUUGUCAUAAACAAGUUAUUAACCAGUGAAACCCUGCUUCCCUGUCUUCGGUUGGGGCGACCAGGAGAAACUAAAAAACUCUCCCGAGGAGUAGGAAGACUCUUCCCAAAACCAAGAGCCACACCUCUAAUAAUUAGAACUUCUAACCAUAAUAGACCCGGAAUACCCGAUCUUCGAACAAAGUUACCCCAGGGAUAACAGCGCAAUCCCCUUUUAGAGCCCG